UACGUAGGGGGCAAGCGUUGUCCGGAUUUAUUGGGCGUAAAACGCUCGUAGGUGGCUACGUCAAGUCGGACGUGAAAUCUCCCGGCUUAACUGGGAGAGGUCGCUCGAUACUGGCGAGCUCGAGGCAGGUAGGGGGAAGCGGAAUUCCCGGUGUAGUGGUGGAAUGCGCAGAUAUCAGGAGGAACACCGGUGGCGAAGGCGGUGGUCUGGGCCGGCACUGACACUGAAUCGCGAAAGCGUGGGGAGCGAACAGG
rnacentral:rRNA from 1 species